GAUGAACGCUGGCGGCGUGCCUAAUACAUGCAAGUCGAGCGAACAGACGAGGAGCUUGCUCCUCUGACGUUAGCGGCGGACGGGUGAGUAACACGUGGAUAACCUACCUAUAAGACUGGGAUAACUUCGGGAAACCGGAGCUAAUACCGGAUAAUAUAUUGAACCGCAUGGUUCAAUAGUGAAAGACGGUUUUGCUGUCACUUAUAGAUGGAUCCGCGCCGCAUGAGCUAGUUGGUAAGGUAACGGCUUACCAAGGCAACGAUGCGUAGCCGACCUGAGAGGGUGAUCGGCCACACUGGAACUGAGACACGGUCCAGACUCCUACGGGAGGCAGCAGUAGGGAAUCUUACGCAAUGGGCGAAAGCCUGACGGAGCAACGCCGCGUGAGUGAUGAAGGUCUUCGGAUCGUAAAACUCUGUUAUUAGGGAAGAACAAAUGUGUAAGUAACUAUGCACGUCUUGACGGUAACUAAUCAGAAAGCCACGGCUAACUACGUG
rnacentral:rRNA from 1 species